rnacentral:rRNA from 1 species
AUUGAACGCUGGCGGCAUGCUUUACACAUGCAAGCCGAACGGCAGCGCGGGCUUCGUCCUGGCGGCGAGUGGCGAACGGGUGAGUAAUUCAUCGGAACGUGCCCAGUAGUUGGGGAUAGCCCGGCGAAAGCCGGAUUAAUACCGCAUACGACCUGAGGUUGAAAGCGGGGGUCCGAAAGUCCUCGCGCGAUUUGAUGUGCCGAAGUCGGAUUAGCGAGUUGGUGGGGUAAAGGCUUACCAAGGCGACGAUCCGUAGCUGGUCUGAGAGGACGACCAGCCACACUGGGACUGAGACACGGCCCAGACUCCUACGGGAGGCAGCAGUGGGGAAUUUUGGACAAUGGGGGCAACCCUGAUCCAGCAAUGCCGCGUGCGGGAAGAAGGCCUUCGGGUUGUAAACCGCUUUUGUUCGGGAAGAAAUACUCUGGGCUAAUACCCCGGGGGGAUGACGGUACCGGAAGAAUAAGCACCGGCUAACUACGUG